CAGUCGCCACGGGAAAACAGAGGGUGCAAGCGUUAAUCGGAUUUACUGGGCGUAAAGGGCGCGUAGGUGGUUAUUUAAGUGAGAUGUGAAAGCCCCGGGCUUAACCUGGGAACUGCAUCUUAUACUGGGUAACUGGAGUGCAGUAGAGGGUAGUGGAAUUUCCGGUGUAGCGGUGAAAUGCGUAGAUAUCGGAAGGAACACCAGUGGCGAAGGCGGCUACCUGGACUGAGACUGACACUGAGGCGCGAGAGCGUGGGGAGCAAACAGGAUUAGAUACCCGCGUAGUCCCUGUCUCUUAUAC
rnacentral:rRNA from 1 species